rnacentral:rRNA from 1 species
UAAAUCAGUUAUGGUUCACUAGAUCGUACAGUUUACAUGGAUAACUGUGGUAAUUCUAGAGCUAAUACAUGCAACCAGUCGGUGCCUUCGGGUGCCGACGCAGUUAUUUGCCCAAAAACCAAUCCGGCCUUCGGGUCGGUCAAUUGGUGACUCUGAAUAACCGAAGCGGAGCGCUUGGUCUCGUACCGGCGCCAGAUCUUUCAAGUGUCUGACUUAUCAGCUUGUUGUUAGGUUAUGUUCCUAACAAGGCAUCAACGGGUAACGGGUUGUCAGGGCCAGACACCGGAGAGGGAGCCUGAGAAACGGCUACCACAUCCAAGGAAGGCAGCAGGCGCGCAAAUUACCCACUCCCGGCACGGGGAGGUAGUGACGAAAAAUAACGAUGCGAGAGCUUUAUGCUUCUCGUAAUCGGAAUGGGUACACUUUAAAUCCUUUAACGAGGAUCUAUUGGAGGGCAAGUCUGGUGCCAGCAGCCGCGGUAAUUCCAGCUCCAAUAGCGUAUAUUAAAGUUGCUGCGGUUAAAAAGCUCGUAGUUGGAUCUGGGUAGUCGAUGGACGGUGCGCCGUAAGGCGUUACUGUUCGUUCGGCACCACAUGCCGGCCAUGUCUUGCAUGCUCUUCACUGAGUGUGCUUGGCGACCGGAACGUUUACUUUGAAAAAAUUAGAGUGCUCAAAGCAGGCGUUAAGCCUUGCAUAAUGGUGCAUGGAAUAAUAGAAUAGGACCUCGGUUCUAUUUUGUUGGUUUUCGGAGCUCGAGGUAAUGAUUAAGAGGAACAGACGGGGGCAUU